GCCUUCUUAGCUUAGUCGGUGAGGCUUACUAAGCGGGUGCUUAGUAAGCGGGAUGUCGUCGGUUCAACUCCGGCAGAAGGCU